rnacentral:rRNA from 1 species
UACGUAGGUGACAAGCGUUGUCCGGAUUUACUGGGCGUAAAGAGCGCGCAGGCGGUCGAUCAAGUCGAGUGUGAAAGCCCCGGCUCAACUGGGGAGGUCAUUCGAUACUGAUCGACUCGAAGGCAGGAGAGGGUAGUGGAAUUCCCGGUGUAGUGGUGAAAUGCGUAGAUAUCGGGAGGAACACCAGUGGCGAAGGCGACUACCUGGCCUGUUCUUGACGCUGAGGCGCGAAAGCUAGGGAG